rnacentral:rRNA from 1 species
AGUGGCGGACGGGUGAGUAACGCGUGGGUAACCUGCCUUAUACAGGGGGAUAACAACCAGAAAUGGUUGCUAAUACCGCAUAAGCGCACAGGACCGCAUGGUCCGGUGUGAAAAACUCUGGUGGUAUAAGAUGGACCCGCGUUGGAUUAGCUAGUUGGCAGGGUAACGGCCUACCAAGGCGACGAUCCAUAGCCGGCCUGAGAGGGUGAACGGCCACAUUGGGACUGAGACACGGCCCAGACUCCUACGGGAGGCAGCAGUGGGGAAUCUUGCGCAAUGGGGGGAACCCUGACGCAGCGACGCCGCGUGCGGGACGGAGGCCUUCGGGUCGUAAACCGCUUUCAGCAGGGAAGAGUCAAGACUGUACCUGCAGAAGAAGCCCCGGCUAACUACGUGCCAGCAGCCGCGGUAAUACGUAGGGGGCGAGCGUUAUCCGGAUUCAUUGGGCGUAAAGCGCGCGUAGGCGGCCCGGCAGGCCGGGGGUCGAAGCGGGGGGCUCAACCCCCCGAAGCCCCCGGAACCUCCGCGGCUUGGGUCCGGUAGGGGAGGGUGGAACACCCGGUGUAGCGGUGGAAUGCGCAGAUAUCGGGUGGAACACCGGUGGCGAAGGCGGCCCUCUGGGCCGAGACCGACGCUGAGGCGCGAAAGCUGGGGGAGCGAACAGGAUUAGAUACCCUGGUAGUCCCAGCCGUAAACGAUGGACGCUAGGUGUGGGGGGACGAUCCCCCCGUGCCGCAGCCAAGCCAUUUAAGCGUCCCGCCUUGGGGAGUACGCCGCCAAGGCUAAAACUCAAAGGAAUGGACGGGGGCCCGCACAAGCAGCGGAGCAUGUGGCUUAAUUCGAAGCAACGCGAAGAACCUUACCAGGGCUUGACAUAUGGGUGAAGCGGGGGAGACCCCGUGGCCGAGAGGAGCCCAUACAGGUGGUGCAUGGCUGUCGUCAGCUCGUGUCGUGAGAUGUUGGGUUAAGUCCCGCAACGAGCGCAACCCCCGCCGCGUGUUGCCAUCGGGUGAUGCCGGGAACCCACGCGGGACCGCCGCCGUCAAGGCGGAGGAGGGCGGGGACGACGUCAAGUCAUCAUGCCCCUUAUGCCCUGGGCUGCACACGUGCUACAAUGGCCGGUACAGAGGGAUGCCACCCCGCGAGGGGGAGCGGAUCCCGGAAAGCCGGCCCCAGUUCGGAUUGGGGGCUGCAACCCGCCCCCAUGAAGUCGGAGUUGCUAGUAAUCGCGGAUCAGCAUGCCGCGGUGAAUGCGUUCCCGGGCCUUGUACUCACCGCCCGUCA